AACCGUAAAGAUUAAGAACGAGAAUAUCGGUUUAGGAUUGGAUAAUAAGGACUUAGACUGAAGCGGGUCUAUUGGAAUUAUCGUAGAAUAAUAAUUUAAAUGGAAAAUUAUUAUGCGAUAAAUUGGAUUUAAUUGAGACAAAAAGGGAAUAAAAUAAAAUAAGUUGGAAAGCCAGAGUUAAUAAUAUUAACGUCAAGGUCCGUGAAAUAUUAUUAAUAAAUGAUCGUCAAAGUUUUGUAAGUAUACGAAAUCGUUUUAGAAGAAAGUUUGACGAUUAGUUAAGAAUAAGGGUUAAAGUGCAAAUUAGCCACUUUAAGGGCUAAAGUGGACUUUUAACCACAAACUUCCGGAGGAAGUUGUGUUUUACUCUAUAUUUUCAAGAUAAGAAAAUAAUAUCGAUAAAGUUGUUAUCGAUAGUCAUUAAAAUGAAAAUUUGACGAAAAAGUGCAAGUUAGCUCAAAAUGGAAACUUGAGCGUUUUUGGCCAAAAUAGCCAAAAUACAUUAUUGGAAAGUGAUAUUAUAAGGUAUGAGACUAAUGUUAUUUAUUUGAGAAAUAAAUAAUACGGAAGUUAUCGAAAAUCGAAUGACUAAAGGGUUAGUGGACUAAAUCGGACGAAAUAAAAGUUAUAAAGUGAAAGUUGAGGAGGUGGCAAAGUGAGGGACUAAAUGAGACCUUUGCCAUAAAUAUAUAUAGCCAAAGGAUUUGAUUUUUUGAGCAGAAAAUCAUUAUUUUCAGCUACCAAAAUUCGUAGCUCAUCUUCCUCCUUCAAACCAAACCAUGGAAAUUUUUCAAAAAGCCAUAUCUCACUCGUUUUUGAUCCGAAUUGAGUGAUUCUUGCGGCCACGGAACGAGGAAAGGAUCCUCUACUGAUAUAUAGCAUCAAUUUGAGGUGUUUAUAAGCUUCCAUGGAGCAAUUUUGAUGAUGAAUCUUGGAGCUAGACCCUUCGGAUUUGAGACUUCAAUCAAGACUCGAUGAGGCGACUAUCGACAAGGCUCGGAAUUUAGAAGAUCGUGGCAUCGCUUAGCCGCUAUAAAGAAUUUGGAUAGCAAGUGGGAUAGCAUGAUAUUAUUUGGAAAGUCAAGCUUCCGAAGUUUUAAUUCUCGGAAGUCAUUUGCACAAGAAGUGAAAGAAGGUUUUCAUUCUAGCAGUCCGCAGUAGUCUAGAUGUUUUUGUCUAUGUAUUUGACUAGCGCAUUUUAACUCUGAUAUUUUUGUAAAAUGGGGUCACAUGUAUUUUGAUAUAUGAAAAAAAUGAUUUGAUUUGCGAAAAAUUUACAUAGGUUUUUUAGGCUUGCUACGGGUUUCGGAGCUACCACUCCCAUUCCCUAGCGCCGGUUGCGGCUCGAGAAAUCGGGUCGUGAUAAAUAAUGUGUUCUUACAGAUAUAACGAUUCUGUAAUUAUACCAUAUAAUUUUCUAUAAUUUAUAAUUAUUUGUUAUUUGUUUGUUU